AUGUGUUAUAGUAUAUUGUUUGUGAAAAAUGCUACCCCAGUAUGAACGACUCCCCAACUUCUCAGCAAAUGAGCUCGAUUCGCUUAGUUAUGCGGACAAUUCGCGAAAAAGCACGUUUCGCGUUCGUUUUAGUAAGCUGGCCGUAGCCACAGUUGUACUCCCGGUGGUUGGGUUCUUAUUUUGUGUCAUAUGGUCUCUGCUAUACAACUUUAAUCAAGCAAAUGCGACGCACUGCAUGGUUUACAACUUUCUCCCCUCUUUAUCUGCUGCGAUCGGAAAUUAUCAACCACAACGAUUCGUAUGGCAGCUUUCAGUUCUCUCCCAUGCUCCUUUUCGAUAUGCUAUUGCCUUUUUGUAUAAAAAUCAUCACCAAACGCUACUAGCUAGGAAACACCGCAAAGAAUGGGCUUAUCUUUCGUGCGUCCUAAACAUCAUCGAACUAUGUUCAUUAGUUGGUCUUAGUUUGUGGACAUCAAGUAGUAACUAUGAAAUUCACAAACUUUGUUUUAGUGCCUUUGUGAUUAGUUCUAUCAUCUACAUGCAAGUCGUGGUGAUCAUUAAUCGUCUUACACGCGCCGAAGACUUACUCACGCUCGCGGACCGCAAGUCUUUGCGCUUGAAGCGACGUUUACUGGUGGUCAACGUGGUUUCCAUUCUGUUUGCGGUGUACUUUUUUGUGCGACACAACAACCAUUGUGAACCGGGCGUGUAUUCUCUGUUUGCCUUUAGUGAGUACGUGUUUGUUUUUUCCAACAUUGGAUUCCACAUGACGGCUUAUUGGGAUUUUAUAAAUGCGACCGUAUACUUCCACUGGCUCACCGGCAUUCACUUUAGUGUUGUUUAAGGCAAGAACCGUUAUGAAAGAUUGUUGCAAGGAACGAUAAAUAAAUGAUUUUUUCUUUAGCAACAUGGUUGUACGUGAUUGAAAACAUGAAUGUAAUAAAACAAUUCAAAACGCUUACCUUGGAAUAUGAUUUUCUCCCGAACUUGCAGCGGUAUCAGUGCUGAACGUGCAAUCUCUUUGAGACCUGAGCCAACGAAUUUCGAGGCCAUCUUUAUAAACCCCGGAAAGCGAAGGGCGUCAA